rnacentral:tRNA from 1 species
GGGGAUUUAGCUCAGCGAUAGAGAGCGCUUGCCUAGCAGGCACAAGGCCCUGGGUUCGAUCCCCAGCUCCG